GGUCUUCCUCUCCCCCUGCAGCGCUGGAGGUGGCGGGGGCCAGCGCCAGUUGCAUACCUGGAGGUCUGUGCCCCAGCAACAACAAUGACCCCAACCUCCAGAAGGCCCUCCUCGUCGCCACCAACUACUACAACACCCAAUCAAAAGACUCCUUCCUCUACAAAAUCUCCUCCAUCAAAAAGGCAGAGCGUCAGGUUGUUGCAGGGACUUUGUACAUCGUGGAUUUAGUGAUUUCCAGGACCGUCUGCCAUAAACCCCCCAGCGUCCAAGAUCUGUCCAAAUGCAACUUUCAGGAUCCUCGCAAGACGCUUCAGUGUCACGUUAAGGUUUUGGUGGUUCCCGGGCAGAAACAGACCAGGACUCUGGAGUUCAGCUGUAAAGCCUGAAACCAGCAGCUGCCUCCACCUUCAUCAGCCUCCUCAUCCCUGAUGGUGUAGUUACCUCCACCUGUCUGCUCCUCAAAUUUAUUGUAAAAUCUGCAAUAAUAAAAACACUACAAACCAAUGGUA